AGGACGAACGCUGGCGGCGUGCUUAACACAUGCAAGUCGAACGGGGAUUAAGUUGGAAAGGCUUCGGCCCGGAAGACUAAUUCGAGUGGCGGACGGGUGAGUAACGCGUGAGCAACCUGUCCCAGACAGGGGGAUAACACUUGGAAACAGGUGCUAAUACCGCAUAAGACCACGGGGUCACAUGGCCUAGGGGUAAAAGGAGCAAUCCGGUUUGGGGUGGGCUCGCGUCCGAUUAGAUAGUUGGUGAGGUAACGGCCCACCCAAGUCGACGAUCGGUAGCCGACCUGAGAGGGUGAUCGGCCACAUUGGAACUGAGAGACGGUCCAAACUCCUACGGGAGGCAGCAGUGGGGAAUAUUGGGCAAUGGGCGAAAGCCUGAACCCCCAGCAACGCCGCGUGAGUGAAGAAGGCCUUCGGGUUGUAAAGCUCUGUCGACGGGGACGAACGCAAUGACGGUACCCGUCAAGAAAGCCACGGCUAACCACGUGCCAGCCGCAGC
rnacentral:rRNA from 1 species